rnacentral:rRNA from 1 species
AACGAACGCUGGCGGCAUGCCUAACACAUGCAAGUCGAACGAGACCUUCGGGUCUAGUGGCGCACGGGUGCGUAACGCGUGGGAACCUGCCCUUAGGUUCGGAAUAACUCCCCGACAGGGGUGCUAAUACCGGAUAAUGUCUUCGGACCAACGAUUUAUCGCCUUUGGAUGGGCCCGCGUUGGAUUAGCUAGUUGGUAGGGUAAAAGCCUACCAAGGCGACGAUCCAUAGCUGGUCUGAGAGGAUGAUCAGCCACACUGGGACUGAGACACGGCCCAGACUCCUACGGGAGGCAGCGGUGGGGAAUAUUGGACAAUGGGCGAAAGCCUGAGCCAGCACUGCCGCGUGAGUGAUGAAGGCCUUAGGGUUGUAAAGCUCUUUUACCCGGGAUGAUAAUGACAGUACCGGGAGAAUAAGCUCCGGCUAACUCCGUG